rnacentral:rRNA from 1 species
AUUGAACGCUGGCGGCAUGCUUUACACAUGCAAGUCGAACGGUAACAGGCCGCAAGGUGCUGACGAGUGGCGCACGGGUGAGUAAUGCAUCGGAACGUGCCCAGGCGUGGGGGAUAACUACUCGAAAGAGUAGCUAAUACCGCAUACGAUCUAUGGAUGAAAGCGGGGGACCGUAAGGCCUCGCGCGAUUGGAGCGGCCGAUGUCAGAUUAGGUAGUUGGUGGGGUAAAGGCUCACCAAGCCAACGAUCUGUAGCUGGUCUGAGAGGACGACCAGCCACGCUGGGACUGAGACACGGCCCAGACUCCUACGGGAGGCAGCAGUGGGGAAUUUUGGACAAUGGGCGCAAGCCUGAUCCAGCAAUGCCGCGUGCAGGAAGAAGGCCUUCGGGUUGUAAACUGCUUUUGUACGGAACGAAACGGCUCUGGUUAAUACCCGGGGCUAAUGACGGUACCGUAAGAAUAAGCACCGGCUAACUACGUG